rnacentral:rRNA from 1 species
GACGAACGCUGGCGGCGUGCUUAACACAUGCAAGUCGAACGGGCCUGUCUUCUUUUUUGGGGGUGGGUUGAGUGGCGAACGGGUGAGUAUCACGUGAGUAACCUGCCCUUCGGUCCUGGAUAACCGCUUGAAAGGGCGGCUAAUACGGGGUGGUCCGGUUGGUCCGCAUGGGCUGGUCGGGAUAGAUUCACUGUUUUUGGUGUUUCGGCGGGGGAUGGGCUCGCGGCCUAUCAGCUUGUUGGUGGGGUGAUGGCCUACCAAGGCGGUGACGGGUAGCCGGCCUGAGAGGGUGGGCGGCCACGCUGGGACUGAGAUACGGCCCAGACUCCUGCGGGAGGCAGCAGUGGGGGGUAUUGCACAAUGGGCGGAAGCCUGAUGCAGCGACGUCGCGUGAGGGAUGGAGGCCUUCGGGUUGUGAACCUCUGUUUCCGGUGGUGAAGGCCCUGUCCGUGUGGUGGGGUUGACGGUAGCCGGGGAUGAAGCGCCGGCUAACUACGUG